rnacentral:rRNA from 1 species
UACGAAGGGUGCAAGCGUUACUCGGAAUUACUGGGCGUAAAGCGUGCGUAGGUGGUUUGUUAAGUCUGUUGUGAAAGCCCCGGGCUCAACCUGGGAAUGGCAAUGGAUACUGGCAAGCUAGAGUGCGGUAGAGGGUAGUGGAAUUCCCGGUGUAGCGGUGAAAUGCGUAGAGAUCGGGAGGAACACCAGUGGCGAAGGCGGCUACCUGGACUGGUCCUGACACUCAGGAGCGAAAGCGUGGGGAGCGAUCCGG